UCAUUCGCUUACAUCAAGGAUUCCGUCAAACGAGGCUUGGACAAUUACUCGGAGAAGUAUAUCGAAACAGACUCGAUUCAGCCGCUGCUUCAUGUUCUUUAUGGUGGCAUGAUCUUCUCCUACCUCGUCGCUCUUCCCAACGAGCGUCGCCAUCUCGCUCACAAGGAGCAUGCUGAAUCUCAUCACUGAUUCAGGAUCCUUGUUGAUUUGGAGAUAUGGUUGGUUUAGGCAGAAGGAUAUUGACAUCAAAUAAGUUUCUUGUAUUUUAAUUGUUGUUAAAUGUGCGCAAAACAU